rnacentral:rRNA from 1 species
GUAGGGAAUCUUCCACAAUGGACGCAAGUCUGAUGGAGCAACGCCGCGUGAGUGAAGAAGGUCUUCGGAUCGUAAAACUCUGUUGUUAGAGAAGAACACGAGUGAGAGUAACUGUUCUUGUAUUGACGGUAUCUAACCAGAAAGCCACGGCUAACUACGUGCCAG